AAUAAGCCUUUUUUUUUCAGUUUACCAAACACAAAAAUGACCCUCAGCUUUUUUUCACAGUGGUUUUUUUUAAAAUCACCUCAAUCCCAAACGGGGCCUUAUUCUCACAGCACAGCCGCUUAUUCUCACAGCAGUUUUUUUUCAAAGCACAGCAAUACCAAACAAACCCGUAGAGGGUGGGUUUAAGGCACAAACAGUGGGAGGAGAUCACAGCAAGAGCCGGGAGGGAACCACGCCAAAGACUGAACAAGUAUUUAU
rnacentral:lncRNA from 1 species